rnacentral:rRNA from 1 species
GCCAGACUCCUACGGGAGGCAGCAGUGGGGAAUAUUGGGCAAUGGGCGCAAGCCUGACCCAGCAACGCCGCGUGAAGGAAGAAGGCUUUCGGGUUGUAAACUUCUUUUAAGAGGGAAGAGUAGAAGACGGUACCUCUUGAAUAAGCCACGGCUAACUACGUGCCAGCAGCCGCGGUAAUACGUAUGGUGCAAGCGUUAUCCGGAUUUACUGGGUGUAAAGGGAGCGCAGGCGGCGCGUUAAGUCUGAUGUGAAAACCCGAGGCUCAACCACGGGAGUGCAUUGGAAACUGGCGGGCUGGAGUGCCGGAGAGGUAAGCGGAAUUCCUGGUGUAGCGGUGAAAUGCGUAGAUAUUAGGAGGAACACCAGUGGCGAAGGCGGCUUACUGGACGGCAACUGACGCUGAGGCUCGAAAGCGUGGGGAGCAAACAGGAUUAGAUACCCCUGUA